rnacentral:lncRNA from 1 species
UUGACUGUGUGGGUUUGAUUAGGAAGAGGCGAUUGCUAUUUAUAAUAAGAAGGUUUUCCGUGUAACUUGAUGCAUACUCUAGAUCAUAUCUCUCGAGAUUUUAUUGUUUUGAUUUCAAUAUGAAUAAUUGUUAAUAUUAGGAAGGUUCAGUCCCCUAAUUUAAAAUCCCAAGAUAUCAUGUGGGUAUUGCACAAGCAAUAUGAGUAGGUGUAAUUAUUUAAAGCGUGAUUUUAGGCAAAUCGUAUAAUCUUCUUACUCUAUAUAUUGGGUUACAUUUAAUAUAGGUAUGAAAUAGUGAAGCUUUGUCAUAAUCUACUUUUUCGAUUUUUAAUAGGAAGAGGAAAUCAGGGAAUGAGCUGAAGAAUAAAUAUACUUGGAAUAGAUUUGGCAUUCCAAUUUAAUUACCUGUUUUAAAAUUGAUUACAAAAAUUAAGGGAUGAGUUGAAAAAUUAUAGUUUGAAUAGAUAUGGUAUCCAAACUAUAUAUAAAUUUAUUGGUUGUUUAAGAAAUAAUUAGAUUUGUAAAUAAAUAUUCUUAUAAAAAUUUGAAAUAUACCAUAGUAAGUUGUGGUCAAAAUAUCUCAAUACUAGGGGAGUGUCCGCGCUUCGCGCAGAAUAUUGUUUUAUUAUUGUUAAGAGCAUGAUUUUUUUUUGGAUAAUGUAAUU